UAAUCGCGGAUCAGCAUGCCGCGGUGAAUACGUUCCCGGGCCUUGUACACACCGCCCGUCACACCAUGAGAGUCGGGAACACCCGAAGUCCGUAGCCUAACCGCGAAGGGGGGCGCGGCCGAAGGUGGGUUCGAUAAUUGGGGUGAAGUCGUAACAAGGUAAC
rnacentral:rRNA from 1 species